AUUAGAUUCAAGUGCCGAUAUCUCCUCUCUUUUUCCACAACCUAUUUCAAAUACUCAACUAUCCCAAUCUCAGUCUCAUGUCCUCCUAAUCAAACAACCAGUCAGAGUAGUCUCUGUGGAAUCAUGCCUAGUUUGUUGUUGAACAUAGUGGAUUGGCUGACUUUCUUCCUCUCUCUAAUGUCUUCGAACCCAAAUCCGAUUCCCAAAUUAAGAAAAAGAUAGAUUGAUAUCAGGUCUUUACUUGAUCCCUUAUCUUGAUACUCUGCUCAAAUUGUUAUAGGAUCUUGAAUUGUUUUUAAUGUUCUUGGUUCCUGUUAUUUGUUGUGGUUUGCUUUAGAUGUGCAGGUUUAUGAAAAUAUUUACGAGAUCUAGGUUUUGCAUAAUCAUUGUGAGUAGAAAUGGGAGGUGGAGGCAUGGAUAAUUGGUUUCAGUAAGCAGAUCUAUGCUGAUUGGGAUAUGGCAUGGAUGAUUUCUAAUCAAGCAAAUCUAUCCAUUGAAAUAAUGCUUUACACCGAAGACUGGUUACGGCAUCGGUGGAGAUUUUGACCUAGAAGAUCUUCCAACAACCUCUUAUAACAAUUUGGAUUUUGAAUUGGAUUCUACUGAACCAGAAGAUAUGCCAGGACUAUGUUUGUUGA